rnacentral:rRNA from 1 species
GAGUUUGAUCUUGGCUCAGAUUGAACGCUGGCGGCAUGCCUUACACAUGCAAGUCGAACGGCAGCAUGAUCUAGCUUGCUAGAUUGAUGGCGAGUGGCGAACGGGUGAGUAAUACAUCGGAACGUGCCCUGUAGUGGGGGAUAACUAGUCGAAAGAUUAGCUAAUACCGCAUACGACCUGAGGGUGAAAGUGGGGGACCGCAAGGCCUCAUGCUAUAGGAGCGGCCGAUGUCUGAUUAGCUAGUUGGUGGGGUAAAGGCCCACCAAGGCGACGAUCAGUAGCUGGUCUGAGAGGACGAUCAGCCACACUGGGACUGAGACACGGCCCAGACUCCUACGGGAGGCAGCAGUGGGGAAUUUUGGACAAUGGGCGAAAGCCUGAUCCAGCAAUGCCGCGUGCGUGAAGAAGGCCUCGGUUGUAA